AGAGCGAACGCUGGCGGCAGGCCUAAUACAUGCAAGUCGAGCGGCCACUUCGGUGGCAGCGGCGGACGGGUGAGUAACGCGUGGGAAUGUGCCCUUUGGUACGGAACAACUGAGGGAAACUUCAGCUAAUACCGUAUGUGCCCUUCGGGGGAAAGAUUUAUUGCCAUUGGAGCAGCCCGCGUUGGAUUAGCUAGUUGGUGGGGUAAAGCCCACCAAGGCGACGAUCCAUAGCUGGUCUGAGAGGAUGAUCAGCCACACUGGACUGAGACACGGCCCAGACCUCCUACGGGAGGCAGC
rnacentral:rRNA from 1 species